rnacentral:rRNA from 1 species
CAGUCGCCGCGGGAAUACGAAGGGUGCAAGCGUUAAUCGGAAUUACUGGGCGUAAAGCGCGCGUAGGUGGUUUGGUAAGAUGGAUGUGAAAUCCCCGGGCUCAACCUGGGAACUGCAUCCAUAACUGCCUGACUAGAGUACGGUAGAGGGUGGUGGAAUUUCCUGUGUAGCGGUGAAAUGCGUAGAUAUAGGAAGGAACACCAGUGGCGAAGGCGACCACCUGGACUGAUACUGACACUGAGGUGCGAAAGCGUGGGGAGCAAACAGGAUUAGAUACCCCUGUAGUCCCUGUCUCUUAUAC